AACACUGCCAAGGCUGUCCCUGCUGGAGAAAACCCUAUCUUUUCUGAGACGUAUGCGUGUGCAAUGCUGGUGACUUACCACAGGUCUUCCUGGGCCCAGGCUGCUGGUGUAUUCCUGACGCUCCGUCUGGAUUAGAGCGUGAACGGGGCAGCUCCUGUGUCUUUGCCCUGACUGUCUGCACUCAGAGGCCUCCAUGGCUGAGGGUGACGCAAUUGCAUGAGUCCUCUCGCCACCCACACAUCACAACUAGCUAUUUCCUGAUGCUUUCAAACAAAGUAGUUCUACCAGCAUAUGCGCAUAUGUUAGAAGGUAGAGUGGAGUAGUGGGGAAAAAUGAAACAAAACAAUAAACAUGGAUUCUGAGGCCAAGACUAAGGUUUGAAUCCUGGAAAUAUUUGCCCUAAUAGCUGUGUGAUCUUGGCCACGGUGGUAGACAGAAUAAUCCCUGGAACCUUUGAAUGUGUUACCUCACAAGGCAGAAGACACUUUGCAGAUGUGAUGAAGCACUUACUGGCUAUGCCAUCCGACAUGAACACCAAGGUCCUGGCUAUAUGAGUGUGACCAUCAAUGCACAGGGUUCAACACCAGUUACAGGCUUGCAGAGCUGGGCCAAAUAACCACCACCAACAGCAAGAAUAGCAGUUUAAAAAUUCCAGACACUGGUCUAAGUGUUCUAUACAUAUUAUCUUGUGUGAUUCUCACAACAGCUCCAAAAGGUUAGAAUGCGCCAAACUGAGGGAACUACAGCGGGAAAGGAGGGUACAGUGACCUUGUCAUGCUUCCUUGAUGUCCUUCCAUGGCCCUGCUGCUGCUGCUCCCGCUACUUUUUCCCCCAAAGGUACACCCACAGCAUCUUACUCCACCUGGUAGUCACUGCUUUUGAAUAAGAUUCCAUCAGACUGCCUCAAGCCCACUAACUCCUGUGUCCACUGGACACAUGGGAAUCUCAUACAUCCUCGCCCCACCAAAUGGUGGCAGUGCAGCCACCA